GGUUUCACAAAGAGUGAUCUCCAAGCUUAUGUAUAGCCCACGGCAUUGACACCCCAUGAGAAACACUGUUGAGGGUGAGUAAGAACUGCUCAGAAAGUGGGCAGUUUCUAUCUUCUCUGACAUUUGCUGAUAAGUCUCAAAUCUUUAGCCUUGUGGAUGCCAGCAGAUACUUUAAAAAGCCAGCAUUCAAGGAAGACAUUCUGCAAUGCAAACUGGAACUGGAAAUCUUCCCCUUCCUAGACUUAACCCAAGGUAAAAGGAAGAUAUCUGCUGGAAAAGCAGAUAUUUCCUCUGGAAAGAUGUCCUAAAUGGAAAUGGAAGAACUGAAUCCAUUAUAUUUAGAAGUUUUCUCAUUUGUAGUAUCUAUCUCUAAGUGUAUUAGCUUUCUUAUAAACAAUGAUAAAAUGUAUAAAAGGCGUAAGCAUUACAUUUUCU
rnacentral:lncRNA from 1 species